rnacentral:lncRNA from 1 species
AUGUAUAUACCACCUCAUUCAUCAGAUUGGAGAGAAAAGAGGCCACGUUCCCUAACUGGCACCUGGAUGCUCCCAAGACCCCUUUCUCCCUGCCUUGGUCAUCUCUCUGGAGCCCCGGAAGCCUCUGUCCCUUUCCCACCCAACUUCCCACUGGAUGCCAUCCCUGGGGGUCCAGACUUAAGAGAUGAAGGACAGCUGGUUAGGACAGACAAUGUUGAGUUGCAGGGCAGAAGGUUCAAGAGGGCACUGGAGGUUUGCCAAAAUGCCCCAAGCUUCUUCUCUUGCCCUCUAGGAAAGGCCACUCAACUGGGAAGGUAAUUGGAUGGUUCAGUGGAUCGAGAGCCUGACCUGUCCUGGAUUCAAAUUUGGACUUCGACACUCCCCAGCUGUGUGACCCUGGACAAGUCACUUAACCCCCAUUGACUAGCCAUAACUACUCUUCUGUCUUAGAAUGGAUAAACAAGUGGAUAAGAUGGAAGGUAAGGGCUGGGGGUUUUUUAAGUGUAUGUCUCCUUCUGCACAUUUUGUCCAUCAGUUCUGUGUGUGAGGAAGUGGGAAGCAUUCUUUAUCACUAGUCCUCUAGAAUUCUGCCCUUGUUUUGCACUAAUUGUGUCUACUGAAUGAGUUUUGAUGUUUUAGGAAUACUUUGAACACACUGUAGAAUCUAAGUUCCUCGAGAGCAGGCAUUGUAUUAUUUAGAUGUUUGUAUCUCCUCAACCUAGGCAAUCAGGAUUAAGUAAUUUAGGGUCACAGCUAGGAAGUGUCUAAAACCAAAUUUGAACCCCAGACCUCCUCUCUCUAAGCCUGGCUCUCAAUCCAUUGAGCGAUCUAGCUGCCCCGCCCCCCCCCCAAUGUUCUUAAUGAUUUUUACCCCACAUCUUAUAACUCUACUGAAUGGGAAAGUUCCUCCUAAUUCCGUGGCCAAUUGUCUUUAAAGCGCUCCAUUUACAAGGAUCAAAGGACAAAUCAGGAGUUUCUGGGUCACAUCUCCUAUAGAAAAUUCUCACAGAAGAUUCCAUCAGUUGGGGACUGGGGUCUGGCGGAACAAAUUGUGGUAUAUAAGGGUGAUGGAAUACUAUUGUGCUAUAAGAAACAAUGAGCAGGAUUAUUUCUGGAAAAAACUGGAAAGAUCCACAUGAACUAAUGCAGAAUGAAUCAAGGAAAUCAAGGAGAACAUUGUGCACAGUAACAGCAACAUUGUGGCCUACUCAACUGUUAGAGACUUUGCUACUCUCAGCAAUAGAAUGAUCCAGGACAAUUCUGAGGGACUUGUGACAAAGAAUAUAUUCACCUCCAGAGAAAGAACUGUUGGAGUCAGAAUGCAGAUUGAAGCACAUAAUUUUUCUAUUCCAAAGCUAUUUUAUUUUCCCAAUUAUGUAUAAUAAUAAUUUUCAAUAUAUGUUUUCCAAAAUUGUAAGGUCCAAACUGUUGACCUCUUUCCCUUCCCUUCCCUCACUCAGAGACUGGUAAACAAUAUGAUCUGGGCCAUAUUUGUAUUAUCAUGCAAAACACACUUCCACAUUGGUCAUUGUUGUAAGAGCAUACUCAUACAAAAGCAAAACCCCAAGAGAUAGUACAAAGCAUACUAUUUUCACAUUAGUUUAUUUAUGUUUUUAUUGGUGGGGACAUUUAUAUGAGUAUUCUUUCACCACAGUGACCAAUGUGGAAUUAUAUUUUGCAUGAUAAUAUAUGCAUAGUCCAGAUCUAAUUACUUAUCAUCUCUGAAAGGGAGGAGGCAAGGGAGGGAGGGAGGGAGGGAGGGAGGAAGGGAGAUGAUUCAGACCUUAAAAUUUCAGAAAAUGUAUAUUACCUGUAAUUGGUAAAAUGAAACAUCUUUUAACAAAAAAAAAAGAAAAUAGUAUAUUGAAUUGAUCAAACUUUUAAAAAUAAAAGAGCAGUACAAAAUAGAUUUUUUCA